UACAGAGGGGGCAAGCGUUAUUCGGAAUUAUUGGGCGUAAAGGGCUCGUAGGCGGCCAACUAAGUCAGACGUGAAAUCCCUCGGCUUAACCGGGGAACUGCGUCUGAUACUGGAUGGCUUGAGUGUGGGAGAGGGAUGCGGAAUUCCAGGUGUAGCGGUGAAAUGCGUAGAUAUCUGGAGGAACACCGGUGGCGAAGGCGGCAUCCUGGACCACGACUGACGCUGAGUGAGCGAAAGCCAGGGGAGCAAACGGG
rnacentral:rRNA from 1 species